CAUUCACGGAGAGUUUGAUCCUGGCUCAGGACGAACGCUGGCGGCGUGCUUAACACAUGCAAGUCGAACGAUGAAGCCCUUCGGGGUGGAUUAGUGGCGAACGGGUGAGUAACACGUGGGCAAUCUGCCCUUCACUCUGGGACAAGCCCUGGAAACGGGGUCUAAUACCGGAUAACACUCUCUUCCUCCUGGGAGAGGGUUGAAAGCUCCGGCGGUGAAGGAUGAGCCCGCGGCCUAUCAGCUAGUUGGUGGGGUAAUGGCCUACCAAGGCGACGACGGGUAGCCGGCCUGAGAGGGCGACCGGCCACACUGGGACUGAGACACGGCCCAGACUCCUACGGGAGGCAGCAGUGGGGAAUAUUGCACAAUGGGCGAAAGCCUGAUGCAGCGACGCCGCGUGAGGGAUGACGGCCUUCGGGUUGUAAACCUCUUUCAGCAGGGAAGAAGCGAAAGUGACGGUACCUGCAGAAGAAGCGCCGGCUAACUACGUGCCAGCAGCCGCGGU
rnacentral:rRNA from 1 species